GUUCCGGUUUUGCCGUAAAGCGUGGCCGGCGGAGCUCGCGGCGCGGCGUGAAGGCGGUGAGGCGCUGACCUUCUCCUUGUGCCCCGCGCCGGGCCGGGCGGUGCGUCCCUCUGUGUCCGUGUGUCCGGGGCACCGCCGCAAAACCCGGGCUGCGCUCCGGGUUAAAAACCCCGGUCAGACGCGAUUGAAGUGUUCACUGACAUGUGAGAAUGGCCAGUUCUUUAAGAAGUGAAGUGAGAAAGCUAUACAAAAACCUGCUGUACCUCGGAAGGGAGUAUCCCAAAGGAGCAGACUACUUCAGAAAGCGUUUGAAAGCAGCUUUUCUAAAAAAUAAAGAUGAGAAGGAUCCGGAGAAAAUCAAGCAGCUGAUUGCACGAGGAGAGUUUGUUAUAAAAGAGCUGGAAGCUUUGUACUUCCUCAGAAAAUACAGAGCUCUGAAACAGCGCUACUACAAUGACGACAAUCAGUAACUGGUGCUAAUGACUUUCAUGUAACAAUACAAAGCCUUAAAAAUGAACAAUAAAAGCUGUAACCUAAAACAAAUGAAACGUUAAUCCUUCUGACCCAUCUGAAAUACGAAUUAGGCCUUUGCUUCCCCUUAAGUAGUGCCUUGAAAGAUUUACAACUGCAUCUGUCUCCUGUGGGGUCACGCUGGCAGAGGCACGCACCCACUGUGCUGGGCCGAAGACUGCAGGGUCAGGAAGGGGGUGAAUUUGGACAGGAGUGGUUUAAGCACUUCGACCCUGAAGACAGUUCCUGCUACUACUGAUUUCUGGCACUGUGUAACUGCUGUAGCAGCAAUACAGAAGUUGACCCUUUCCCCUGGAACUGAAGUUUCACGGUGGAUGUUUGCUCCACAGCUAAUGCCAUAGGCUAGCUCAACUAGUUCUGUGCCAGAACUGCUACUUUGUGUGUACUAGGGUCGGAUGAUGUUUCUACCCCCACCAAGAACUAAAUGACACUGGAGAGAGAACAGAAAUAAUCUUUGAAAUAUAGGCAUUGCUAGUUCAAGAACCAACAGUCAAAGAAUACUGGCACUUUAAGAGGAAUGAAGUUUCCACUGUCAUUUAAAACAAGCAUUCAGGUAAAGCUAACAGGAUCAUGAAGCAGAAAGUAAAGUAAUGCUAAACCAAAUGCUAAUAAUUUAGUGUAAUGUACAAAAAUUACUUAAGUACUUCUUAAGAAUAAGGAUAAAUUGUAUUUACAUAAUUAUA